rnacentral:rRNA from 1 species
UACAGAGGUCCCGAGCGUUGUUCGGAUUUACUGGGCGUAAAGGGCGCGUAGGCGGUCAGCACAAGUCAGUUGUGAAAUCUCCGGGCUUAACUCGGAAAGGUCAACUGAUACUGUGCGACUAGAGUGCAGAAGGGGCAACUGGAAUUCUCGGUGUAGCGGUGAAAUGCGUAGAUAUCGAGAGGAACACCUGCGGCGAAGGCGGGUUGCUGGGCUGACACUGACGCUGAUGCGCGAAAGCCAGGGGAGCGAACGGG